UACAGAGGUGGCAAGCGUUGUUCGGAAUUACUGGGCGUAAAGGGCGCGUAGGCGGUCUUGUAAGUCUUGUGUGAAAUCCCUCGGCUUAACUGAGGAACUGCACGGGAUACUGCAUGACUUGAGAUCGGGAGAGGGAAGCGGAAUUCCGGGUGUAGCGGUGAAAUGCGUAGAUAUCUGGAGGAACACCGGUGGCGAAGGCGGCGUUCUGGACUGCAACUGACACUGAGGAACGAAAGCCAGGGGAGCAAACGGG
rnacentral:rRNA from 1 species